rnacentral:misc_RNA from 1 species
GAUGAAGAACGCAGCGAAAUGCGAUACUUGGUGUGAAUUGCAGAAUCCCGUGAACCAUCGAGUCUUUGAACGCAAGUUGCGCCCGAAGCCAUUAGGCCGAGGGUACGCCUGCCUGGGCGUCACACGUCGUUGCCCCCCCAUCUACUCCUUCGGGAUUGCGGGGGGCGGAUGAUGGCCUCUCGUGCGCCUCGUCGCGCGGUUGGCCUAAAUGCCAAGUCCUCGGCGACGCACGCCACGACAAUCGGUGGUUGCGAAACCUCGGUUGCCUGUCGUGUGCGGUCGUCGCGCAUCGAGGGCUCGAAAAAAUUGCCGGGCUUCGGCUCGACUUUCAACGCGACCCCAGGUCAGGCGGGGUUACCCGCUGAAUUUAAGCAUAUCAAUAAGCGGAGGA